UACGUAGGGUGCAAACGUUGUUCGGAAUCACUGGGCAUAAAGAGCGCGUAGGCGGUCUGACAAGUCCCCUGUGAAAGCCCCCGGCUUAACCGGGGAACUGCAUGGGAUACUGUUGGGCUAGAGUGCGGUAGAGAGUAGUGGAAUUCCCGGUGUAGCAGUGAAAUGCGUAGAGAUCGGGAGGAACAUCUGUGGCGAAGGCGACUACCUGGACCAGCACUGACACUGAGGCACGAAAGCGUGGGGAGCAAACAGG
rnacentral:rRNA from 1 species